rnacentral:misc_RNA from 1 species
GGGAAAGUUGGUUAUUGCGUUUAUAUCCAUAAUAUACACAGACCUCAAUUUUGCUGGGAAAGUUUUAUUACAUUUAUAUACAUAAAAUACACAGACUUCUCUUUACAGGAAAUAGAUGGGGCUCUGAACCACCUACAUCAACCUAGAAGCUCAUGAACAUUUGUCUCAUAAACAUGAAGCUUUUAUUCAUCAAGCAACAUUGAAGGAUCCAGCUGCGUUCUCCACAAACUUCCUCGCCCCCUUGAACCAUCUCUUAUCCCCAGCCUGAGCCUUGCAGAUGAACAACUUGCCCGACUGCACUGUGGCCGUUAUCAGCUGGUGUUUCCCUCCCUCGGUUCCAUCCGCCGUCCGUGUCAACACCGAGAUCGAGUAGUACGGCUUUCCACCAUUCUCCACAGUCUUAGCCUCCAAGAUGUUAGCAGUUGCCACCGCGUUCGGAUCGAAACCACCCUCUGAGUCUGUUUUGCCUCCGUAGACCUGUUUUCCUAACAAGAAAUCAACCUGAGAGAGGAACUCCUCAGGAGAACCAAAAUCCUUGAUCGACUUCUUAUCAGUCUUCGUGAUAAUGACCGAGACAUUGCU